rnacentral:rRNA from 1 species
GAAAAGAAACUAACUAGGAUUCCCCCAGUAACUGCGAGUGAAGAGGGAAGAGCUCAUCAUUGGAAUCUGGCAGUGUUGCACUGUCCGAGUUGUAGAUGAGGAGUAGUCCGUCUGGACUGCAUGGCGUCCAAGUACAAUAGGCCGUCAGUGGGACAUCAUAGAGGGUGACAAUCCCGUCCUUGACGCCAAUGUGCAAGUCUAUUACGAUGGCUAUCUCAGAGAGUCGAGCAGUUUGGGAUUUGCUGCUUAAACAUGGGAGGUAGAUUCCUUCUAAAGCUAAAUACAGGCGAGAGACCGAUAGAGAACAAGUACCGCAAGGGAAAGAUGAAAUAGCACUCUGUGAAGGGAGUCAAAAGGCGUGAAAUUGUUGCGAGAGAAGCGAUUCAAGUCAGCGUAGCUAGGCCCAUCAAGCGUCUUCGCUUUGGACUAGCUUUGCCAGCGGUCUUGUCCCUUAAAGAGACUUGACUUGUAAUAUGUCCAGCCUGGCGUGCACAGGCAGCCCCUUCUGGGGGCCAGUGGCAUGGCUGGUGGAAUGGCUUGCAAUCGACCCGUCUUGAAACACGGACCAAGGAGUCUAACAUGUAUGCGAGUAUAAGGGUGGCAAACCCGUAUGCGCAAUGAAAGUGAUUUUCGGUGAUUGAGAAUGGCCUGAUGACCAGACAAGCAAUAUAUGUCCCUCGUACGGCCAUUGCCCAAGUUCCGUGGUAGAUCCCACGAACAUGGAGUUGGAGCAUACAUGCUAGGACCCGAAAGAUGGUGAACUAUGCCUGGACAAAGCGAAGCCAAAGGAAACUCUGGUGGAGGCUUGUAGCGAUUCUGACGUGCAAAUCGAUCGUCUGAUCUGGGUAUAGGGGCGAAAGACUAAUCGAACCAUCUCAU